UACAGAGGUCUCAAGCGUUGUUCGGAUUCAUUGGGCGUAAAGGGUGCGUAGGUGGCGCCGUAAGUCAGGUGUGAAAUUUCGGAGCUUAACUCCGAACUGCAUUUGAUACUGCGGUGCUUGAGGACUGGAGAGGAGACUGGAAUUUACGGUGUAGCAGUGAAAUGCGUAGAGAUCGUAAGGAAGACCAGUGGCGAAGGCGGGUCUCUGGACAGUUCCUGACACUGAGGCACGAAGGCCAGGGAGCAA
rnacentral:rRNA from 1 species